GUGGGGCCCCUUUCUCAUCGCACAUCCUGGAGCUCAUUUCUGCUCCGAACUCGUUCUUCUUGAUAUCUUAAAUUCAGAAAUGUGUCCUUGACUACCGACAUGAAUGAGUACUGCAGAAAUUGAAUCUCAAAGGCACGCCCUCUUCCCCGCCCCUAGUUAGUUGAAGGAUAGUUCGGGAAAUGCCUCGGACUUGGAUAAAGGGUUUGAUGUGGUGUUGUAUUAUGUGUCUGAAAAUUGGAGCUUUUCAAAGUCAAUUUUUAAGAAACCAUCCAUGGCAUACUCUUUAUAGACAGUAAAAGAAGGAACAAAACCUGAAUGCCACAAAGGGUUAAUUAUUACCUGUAAAACCCCUAAGGACUCAAGAGUGAUGACAGCCUGCUCUAAGUCUGUCUUGCGCUUGUCUCCCAAGAAAAACACAACUGUGUACUCAUUAACUCCUUCUCUCCAAUAAUCUUGUCAAGGAGAUGGAUGGGGAGAAAGUUAGUGAGGGAGCUAAUGAGUCUGGGGAUGGAAAGGAAGAGAAUUCUGAUGUCUCCCUGCCUCCGGUUCCAGCAUUUUCCUCUGAGAGAGUGACUCAAAGGAUUUUUAAAAGUUACAAAAAAAAAAAAAAAAUUCUGACCAUCUUGAAACCCUGCAGCUCACCAGGAGAGGCAGCUCCUUACCUCCAAAGAUGGACUGAUGACAUCACCAGAGGCAUAUUGGAGAGGCAAGUGAAAUAUUAG
rnacentral:lncRNA from 1 species